GCUUUCGUGGUGUAGAGGUCAGCACGCUCGACGCAGAACCAAGACGUCCGUGGUUCGAUUCCCGGCGAAGCCG
rfam:Stegodyphus mimosarum contig110414, whole genome shotgun sequence.